CAAACUUGUUCUGCCUCUUGUGCAGGGAAAGCCCCUGGUGGGUUGGGCCGGUUUGUUUACCUGCCGCAUCCCGAGGUUCGGCUGAUCGCGGCUCCCAGUGGCUGCGGUUCGCUACUCCAGGCCAUUUGGAGCCGCUGGAAGCAGCAUGGGCUAAGGGACAUGUGUUUAACCUGCUC